GACGAACGCUGGCGGCGUGCCUAAUACAUGCAAGUUGAGCGCUGAAGGUUGGUACUUGUACCAACUGGAUGAGCAGCGCACGGGUGAGUAACGCGUGGGGAAUCUGCCUUUGAGCGGGGGACCACAUUUGGAAACGAAUGCUAAUACCGCAUAAAAACUUUAAACACAAGUUUUAAGUUUGAAAUAUGCAAUUGCAUCACUCAAAUAUGAUUCCGCGUUGUAUUAGCUAGUUGGUGAGGUAAGGGCUCACCAAGGCGAUGAUACAUAGCCGACCUGAGAGGGUGAUCGGCCACAUUGGGACUGAGACACGGCCCAAACUCCUACGGGAGGCAGCAGUAGGGAAUCUUCGGCAAUGGACGAAAGUCUGACCGAGCAACGCCGCGUGAGUGAAGAAGGUUUUCGGAUCGUAAAACUCUGUUGGUAGAGAAGAACGUUGGUGAGAGUGGAAAGCUCAUCAAGUGACGGUAACUACCCAGAAAGGGACGGCUAACUACGUG
rnacentral:rRNA from 1 species